AACUUUCUACCAUAGCCCUUUGCUGGAAGAAGGGGUGACAGGGAUCCCUUAGCCACAGCUGGAACAAAGAAUCUGUGGAAAAGCAUUGACACAGCUUCUGGGAAGUGGGAGUAAAGUAAAGAAGGAAGUGGUGUUAAGCUAAGAACUUAAUUCUGAUGGUUUUUGCAAUCAUGUACUUAGCAUCACAAUGCUGUCAUGGCCUUUGGGAAGGAGUUUUUCUUAGAAAUGCAGUAAUAGAAUGAGUUCCUGCUUAGAACUGAAACCUACAGUGGACAAAGAGCUCCUGUUUUAAAGAUUACACUGGUAUUGAUUUAGAAGAGUGGGAGUGUAUUAUCAGAUAGAAUAAACUGAAGAGUAUACCUACAUGAUUAAGAGUUUUAUGAUGUACAGUAUUAAUGUGCACUACUUAGAAUUCAGGGUAAUAAAAAAUACAAAGUUGCAAUGCUCAUA